CGGCACGGGUGAGUAACACGUAUGGAACCUGCCCUAUGCAGGGGGAUAAGCGGAAGAAAUUCCGUCUAAUACCGCAUAACACCAUUUGGAGACAUCUCCAGGUGGUCAAAGGAGGCGACUCCGGCAUGGAUGGCCAUGCGUCGCAUUAGCUAGUCGGCGGGGUAACGGCCCACCGAGGCGACGAUGCGUAGGGGUUCUGAGAGGAAGGUCCCCCACACUGGUACUGAGACACGGACCAGACUCCUACGGGAGGCAGCAG
rnacentral:rRNA from 1 species